GAUCCUGGCUCAGGAUGAACGCUGGCGGCGUGCCUAACACAUGCAAGUCGAACGAGGUAAAUGAGGUGAAGUUUUCGGAUGGAUUCUUAUUUACCGAGUGGCGGACGGGUGAGUAACGCGUGGGUAACCUGCCUCAUACAGGGGGGAUAACGAUUGGAAACGAUUGCUAAUACCGCAUAAGCGCACAGUACCACAUGGUGCAGUGUGAAAAACUCCGGUGGUAUGAGAUGGACCCGCAU
rnacentral:rRNA from 1 species